rnacentral:rRNA from 1 species
GACGAACGCUAGCGGCAGGCCUAAUACAUGCAAGUCGAACGGUAAGGUCCCUUCGGGGAUACACGAGUGGCGCACGGGUGCGUAACGCGUAUGUAACCUACCCAUUAGAGGGGGAUAGCCUAUGGAAACGUAGAAUAAUACCCCAUGAGUUCACGGAUUCGCAUGGAUCUGUGAGGAAAGCUCAGGCGCUAAUGGAUGGGCAUGCGUAUCAUUAGCUAGUUGGUAAGGUAACGGCUUACCAAGGCAACGAUGAUUAGCUGGUCUGAGAGGAUGAUCAGCCACACGGGCACUGAGACACGGGCCCG